rnacentral:lncRNA from 1 species
ACCAAAUUCCACCCCCACCCCUCACAUAUACAGAGAUCCGAGCGGCAUGCAAAAGGGUCUCUCUGCUGCUUUCUCUUUUGUCACUGAGUCUCCAAAUUGUGUAACUGAAACUGCAAGGAAGACCGUUUUCCUGAAGAUGCUGAGAGCUCUGUUUUGAAGACACACACAUAUCCGAACAAUUAGAGACUGAAGAGUGAGGACGCCUGUUUGGGGACUGGUUUGGUAUUGUACCCAGACCACACAUUCCGGCUGGG